rnacentral:rRNA from 1 species
UGCGUAGGCGGGCUUAAAGGUCCGAUGUGAAAGCCCACGGCUCAACCGUGGAAUUGCGUUGGAAACCAUAAGUCUUGAGGGAGUCAGAGGUGAGCGGAACUGAUGGUGGAGCGGUGAAAUGCGUUGAUAUCAUCAGGAACACCGGUGGCGAAAGCGGCUCACUGGGACUCUUCUGACGCUGAGGCACGAAAGCUAGGGGAGCGAACG